rnacentral:misc_RNA from 1 species
GGAAGAAGUGCAUAUCAGCUUUUAGCAAUUUAUCAUAUGGCUCGGCCAAUGCAAAAGAACCCUUUUAUUUCCUUAUAAUCUAUGGCCAUCGUAAGCCUUUUGUCAAAUCAGGUACUUUCCAAAAGGGAAACAAUGGGGAGAUCAUACAUUAAUACCGACAAACUCAAACGCUACACUUUACAUAUUUCUAAUACACAAGGAAGACAGAAACAUUAGCUAUUUAAUGGUCUUAGUAUCACAGCUGUAUAUGUUUCCCCUGUCAUAAUCAACUUAUUUCUGGCCAAAUUCGAUAUUUUGAUAGAAAAGAAAAAAAAAAAUUGCUGAGAUUUCUCUACAAAAUCUAUCUCAUCGUGAGGCCUGGACUGUCUGCGAGGCAUUCUCCCAGGCUAAGAGCAGUGUUUCCCAUUUUAGGGGUGUGCGCAAACUCUUCUCGUACAAAUAUAUUUAUGAUCAUCCUCUGCCUACACUAUGAUUGUGAACAAACUCAAAACGAUUGCUAAUUGAAAAUGAGAAAAAGUUGACAUUAAAAUUUGGCAGUAGUAAAAAUUUCUGGGAUAAAAAUAAAAUGUUACAAAUUAACCGCUGAUGAAAUUGCUUGUCAUCUGUCAUUCUUCUUAUCUCAUAUCAAGCACUUGAAGCAGGAGAAGCAGCGGUUUCUAUCUCACUGGUCCUUCCGAGCUUUAGACCUCGCAGGCCUUGAUGGUUUAAUUAUGUAGCCAAGGAGGAUCAAUAUUAUGGGCAGAAUGGUGCCAAUGUAAUAUACACUACCAUAUGCAGCAAUUGUUUCAUGCAAGCUUAAUACCAUGAAACCAACAGAGGAGUAAUUAAGAACCAAAACUGUGUAAGCAAAAUUCACGAACACUAGCAUCUUCUUGACUAAAGCCAUAUUUGGAGGUAUGGCUUGUUGCCAUCUGUAUAUGACUCUUGAACCAGAAAUCAUUAAUGCUGACUGGACAAAGAAUAUGAUGUAUCCAGGAUACAAUCCAUGCCAAACAGCACUGGUGGUCUGAGUGGCCAACAACUGAAAGAAACCUGGCUUUUUACCCUUCUGGAUAAGUCUUUCAUAAACGUAAUGGCGAAGCCAUGUGCUGACUUGUAUGUUCCACACAAGUGGCAGCUCAACUGAACUCUUUGCAAACUCAACACCUAGAAUAUCAACAUUUUUAGCACGAUCCCAUCGUGGCUUUGGUGGAGAAGUAUCUGUCCAACCACUGAAACCCAGGCCAGAGAUAAUAAUAGAGGCCUCAGAAAUUGACCAGAUGAAAUAGUAUUUCCAACGUGCUGUGAAGCCGGACAUAUACUGGUAACUCAACCGUUUCCAGAAGCCCCAUUCUUGGUAUAAAGGAUCAGUGAACCGGGACAAAGGAAAGUGGGGCACCAGGUAUAGAUACAGGGCCAUGCAAAAUGCAGCCUGAAGAAGAGCUCGAAUUGUUGCACCAUAAGGUGAUAGUGAGGGUCCCCCCUCUGUGCAAGCCCAUAUCCCCUUCCUUUCAGUCCACUCGAGAUAGUCCUUCACUUCAUAAACAGGACCAGCAAAGUGGCUACCACAGCAAAGGCAGUAACCACAGUACUCAAUCAAUGAAGGCAGUUUAAUCAGCCUGUUUUUCUUCUGAGCCUCCCGUAAUUCUUCCUCCUUUAAUAAUCCAUCAUUGUAAUUUAUUGAGCAUGAUAUGACUUUCAGUGUUAACACCAUUAAGGCCCCAGUGGCAUCAAUUCCUCCUUCCUUCCAUGCAUCUCCACUCAUAUAAUACACAUGGCUACACACGGAUAUCAACAGUCAAGAAUUCUGAAAUAGAUUGGCAUAUUUUCAAGAAUAAUGAUUUGUUUAAUCAUAUUCAAUUAACAUAUCAAAAAAGUGUUUAGAAUAUAAUUAAAAAGAUAAAUAAAAUAAAAGUGAUCCUUGAAAUCCAUAGUCGAAUAUAAUCAUUGAACCACAUAUCCUCCCUAAGAAUGUGAACUCCAAAUUCCAAAUUAACAGGAAACUUAUAAUUCAGCUUUUCUUUUCCUUUGAUUUUCGAUUCUUCGUCCUUUUAGCGCCCAGAAACCCCAAAUCAGAACUUCUGAAAGCAAAUCUAAUAAAUAAAGCAAGCAAGGAAGCUUCUUGUUGCAAUUAACACUCUAAAUCGACUUAAUCAAGCAAAAUUAAACUUAAAUAAAUAAACUCCUUUAAUUCAAAAAAGAAAAAUAAAUAAUCAUUUCUCACCAAAACGAUGAAUCAAAUUAAAAACGUACCACCCAAUGAGGUAACCGAAUCCCAGAAUGAACGUAAGGAUUCCACAAUAGGGGCGAAACAGAAGCAUUGAAGCGUAACCCAACAACAUGGGCACCAAAAAAUGGAGAUUUGAAGAGAAUCCGAAUGAAAGAUAGGAGAGAAAAGCCCCAGAAAAGGCCGCGUACAUAUGCUUGCUGAGUUUACCAGGGAAGAGUCGGUGGAUGAAACUCACAGGAAUAGUCGCCACGAAGCAAAGUAGGAACCGCAGCACGGGGAUAGAAACCCCGAUCGCCGCGGACAUGGAUUCCAUGUCAAAGUCCAUAUUGAAUUGGUGCGUAUGGGAUCUCCCACUUUCAAUCGGGCCGGACGAGUCAAUUUGUCUCGGUGGCUUCGCUGGACUCUCUGAGUCGACAACCAGUUGCUCUCCUGAAAGGGCAGCAAAUAGCCCGAAGGUCUU